AACGUACGCUGGCGGCAGGCUUAACACAUGCAAGUCGAACGCAUCCUUCGGGGUGAGUGGCAGACGGGUGAGUAACGCGUGGGAACGUGCCCUUCAGUUCGGGAUAACCCAGGGAAACUUGGGCUAAUACCGGAUACGUGCGAGAGCAGAAAGAUUUAUCGCUGAAGGAUCGGCCCGCGUCUGAUUAGCUAGUUGGUGGGGUAAUGGCCCACCAAGGCGACGAUCAGUAGCUGGUCUGAGAGGAUGAUCAGCCACAUUGGGACUGAGACACGGCCCAAACUCCUAUGGGAGGCAGCAGUGGGGAAUAUUGGACAAUGGGCGCAAGCCUGAUCCAGCCAUGCCGCGUGAGUGAUGAAGGCCUUAGGGUUGUAAAGCUCUUUCGUCCGGGACGAUAAUGACGGUACCGGAAGAAGAAGCCCCGGCUAACUUCGUGCCAGCCGCCGCGGUAA
rnacentral:rRNA from 1 species